CAUGAUGGAGCAACUCCCGAGAGUUGCUGGAUGGUGCAUGAGUUGUCAGUUGCCGUGCCAACGAAAGGAAUGAAGUUUGUGUUCCAGUGUAAGUGCUGGUUGGCCAAAGACCGUGGUGACGGUCUCACUACCCGUGUGCUCCACAUCAUGGAUGCUGUUGUCAUCUCCAUUGCACAAAAGAUCAUCUAUGAGGUAACUGUGGUUACAGGUGAUGUGCAGAAUGCAGGAACAGACACACAAAUUUACUUGACUAUAUUUGGGGCCAACGGAAGCUCAGAUGAGAAGUUGCUGCCAAAGAAUGAAGACAGAUUUGAGCGUGGACAGGAGGACACGUUCACUCUCGAGGUUGAAGACAUUGCACCGCUGAAAAAGAUGCGGGUCCGAGUUGACGCCUCUGGCAGCCGACCCGACUGGUUCCUGGAAAGGGUUGCCCUGCGUAACGUACAAACUGAUGAAGUGGCAGAGUUUACGUACUCUGAGUGGCUGUCGACCACCCUUGGCACCAAAAAGACAUUGAGCGCUGAGAUGCCUGCUGUCAUAGACGAGGAAGAAAUGAUGGAGCUGACCAACUACAUUGUAAAUGUCAAGACAGGCGAAGCCAUGGGUGCAGGGACAGAUGCCAAUGUGUGGUUAAUGAUCUUCGGUGAGAAUGGGGACACGGGACCGCUGGCACUCAAACACUCCAACAACAAUAACAAGUUUGAACGCAAACAGAUGGACACCUUCAGAUUCCCAGACAUGCUCAGCUUGGGCGACCUGUCCAAAGUUCGGCUAUGGCACGACAAUGCAGGCCCAGCUGCUGGUUGGUAUGUUGACUACGUGGAUGUACGAGAUGACGUCCUGGAUCAAACUUUCCGUUUCCCAUGCAAAAGGUGGCUUGCCAAGAAUGAGGAUGAUGGACAGCUGAUACGAGAGCUGGGCUGUGCCAACAACGACAUUCUGGACCUCAAUGAGAAAACCAAGUAUGAAAUCAUUACAGUAACCGCAGAUACAGAUGAGGCAGAGACGCGAGAGAAUGUGUGGAUGAUCUUGGAGGGAAGGAAGGGACGUUCCAAAGAGCUUGUUCUAGAAAAUUCAGGGAAGAAAAGGCGAUUCCUACGUGGGAGCACAGACAGAUUUGAGUUCUCCUCUAAGGUUGUGGGUGACAUUGCGGGUAUCUGUGUUGGCCACAUACCCAAAGAUGGGAAGAAGCCCAAAAUUGAAGCCUCUUGGCAUGUGUUAGAAGUCACUGUCAGAGAGAAAGAGCUCGGAAACAAGUACAUAUUCAACUGUAACGCUCAGAUUCCCCUCUCCUCCAAACGUGACGACCCUGUGACGUUCGAGUGCAGCAAGAUCGUGGAGAGCUUUGCCUCCAAGGCCCGCAGCCUGCGCCCAGUCAGGUACGAGAUCAUCGUGGUCACGGGUGAUGAGAAAGGGGCAGGCACCGAUGCCAACGUCUUCAUCACACUCUUUGGCACAAACGGGGAUUCGGGCCGACGGGCCUUGCGGCAGCGCCUGCGAAACUUGUUUGAGCGCAACCGGACCGAGCGCUUCACGAUGGAGAUGCUGGACAUGGGCGAUCUGACGCACGUGAUCGUGGAGCACGACAGCAAGGGCUUCAACCCUAGCUGGCUGCUGGAGCGUGUGGAGGUCACCAACACCGCCAACGGAGUCACCACCAUCUUCCUGUGUGGGAAGUGGUUGGACAAGAAUCGGGCAGACGGACAGACGCGCCGCGUGAUCUACCCCAAAUACUGAUGUACUGUAGGCUUACCCAUGUACUGUGACUCGGAAUUUGACAAUAGGAGCACUGGCAGACACAAAUGUCAGCUCAGGACUUCCACACUAGUCCACACUGGAGUUUGGAGUUGAUAAAACAAAUAAAAAAAAAGAAAGAAAGAAAAAAGAAGAUAAAUCUGAAUUGAGCAUGUAAACAUAUAGUCAGCAUCAUGUUUUCUCUCUAGAGGAGUUACCCCUGAUGAAAUCGACUCAGUGGAGACCUCUGUGAAUCCUCUAAGGCAGCACUGUGUCACUGCCUUCACUACUACAUAACUCAGGCACAUGCAGAUACCACAAUCUCCCUGACCUAUGAACCCUACUGAGGUGAGGGUUACCAGACCUUGCCAGAUAUGACCUAGCAGUGCCAGGCAAAGCAGACAGACACAGCAGUUCCAAUCUGAUGUGCGUGGAGAGAAAUUGAGGCCCGUGAUUAACUGAAUGUUGUGACAACAUGUCUGCAUGAAAGGGUGUGGAGGAAUAAAGGUGUGACCCAUGUUUACCUGGGGUCAUUUAAUUACAUUAAA